AACGAACGCUGGCGGCAGGCUUAACACAUGCAAGUCGAACGGGCGUAGCAAUACGUCAGUGGCAGACGGUUGAGUAACACGUGGGAACCUUCCUAGGGGUACGGAACAACUCAGGGAAACUUGAGCUAAUACCGUAUACGUCCGAGAGGAGAAAGAUUUAUCGCCCUUAGACGGGCCCGCGUCGGAUUAGGUAGUUGGUGGGGUAACGGCCUAGCAAGCCGACGAUCCGUAGCUGAUCUGAGGAGAUGAUCAGCCACACUGGGACUGAGACACGGCCCAGACUGCUACGGGAGGCAGCCGUGGGGAAUUGUGGACAAUGGGCGCAAGCCUGUUCCAGCCAUGCCGCGUGAGUGAAGAAGGCCUUAGGGUUGUAAAGCUCUUUUGGCAGGGACGAUAAUGACGGUACCUGCAGAAUAAGCCCCGGCAAACUUCGUGCCAGCAGCCGCCGUAACAC
rnacentral:rRNA from 1 species